UGGUGCCAUUUUAUGAUCCUGCAACUGCCGUGUCGAAGGUAGGUGGUGGAGGUGAUAAUGAUAAUGAUAACAACGACCACCAUUUCCUAUUGGAUUUUGAUGUUAACGUCGCCGGAACUGAAGCUGAAGAAGCGGAAGCUGCUUCGUGGCUUAUCCCAGAUCCAAAUAUAAACAAAAUCGUUGAUGGAUCUGAGGAUGAUAAUAAAUCGGAGUACUUGUUUAACGAGAUCGAUCCAUACCUUGAUAUAGAUCUGAAAACGCCGGAUCAAAAGGCUAAUCAGAUCAUUCGCAGAUACAAUUCCCCAACCGAUGGAGUUGUUCCGGUGCAAAACAAGAUCGAAAAUCGCCAUUACCAGAUGCCACCACAUGCACAUGCUUCUUCUCCAGAUGUAGUGGAGGGAUUACCUGCAUAUGACGUCGAUUACACCGGAUCUAAGCCUUUCAUGUACAACUUCACCUCUCAAUCCGUCAGCCAAAGCGUAAGUGCAAUCCAAACCAAAUCCGAAUACUUAUAAUUCAUUAUAACAACUUCAAUUUCAUUAUAUCAACUAAUCAGGAUAUAUUUAAUCAUCAGGUAUCAUCAUCUUCACUGGAAAUCGAAGUAGGCGUCGUACCGGACCACAACGCAAACGCAACCAUGGCGGAUGUAUCAAACAACCACCACCACCCAUCAUUACCGGAAGUAUAUCCGACUCCUGUGUCGGGUUUCGAUCGUGAAGCCAGGGUUUUAAGAUACAAAGAAAAGAGGAAGAACAGGAGGUUUGAGAAAACGAUUCGAUAUGCUUCGAGGAAGGCAUACGCAGAAACAAG
rnacentral:lncRNA from 1 species